rnacentral:rRNA from 1 species
CCUACGGGAGGCUGCAGUGGGGAAUAUUGGACAAUGGGGGGAACCCUGAUCCAGCCAUGCCGCGUGUGUGAAGAAGGCCCUCGGGUUGUAAAGCACUUUCAGUGAGGAAGAACGCCUGGUGGUUAAUACCCAUCAGGAAAGACAUCACUCACAGAAGAAGCACCGGCUAACUCCGUGCCAGCAGCCGCGGUAAUACGGAGGGUGCGAGCGUUAAUCGGAAUUACUGGGCGUAAAGCGCGCGUAGGUGGCUUGAUAAGCCGGUUGUGAAAGCCCCGGGCUAAACCUGGGAACGGCAUCCGGAACUGUCAAGCUAGAGUGCAGGAGAGGAAGGUAGAAUUCCCGGUGUAGCGGUGAAAUGCGUAGAGAUCGGGAGGAAUACCAGUGGCGAAGGCGGCCUUCUGGACUGACACUGACACUGAGGUGCGAAAGCGUGGGUAGCAAACAGGAUUAGAUACCCCGGUAGUC